GCGGGGAUAGUUUAAGGGUCAGAAUAUCAAUCUUCCAGAUUGAAGAUAGUGGUUCAAAUCCACUUUCCCGCUCCA
rnacentral:tRNA from 1 species